CCUCUCUCCCUCUCUCCCUCUCUCUAUCUUCUUUUCUUUUUUAUUUGCUUCACUAACACUGGUGUUGCUGCCUCUCCUCAGGUAUCGCAAGACAACCAGAAGAGAGGCCCCUGACCUCUCCAACUUCAUAACAAAUUAUCCCAAAUCAAGUCUGUCUUCUUCACUAAUAUCCUCGCCGGCCUCUUUCCUCCAGUCCAAUAAUAAUUCGCAAUCAACAAAUACGUAUUCCAUAUCCCAUUUUUCCCCAUCUUCCUCCUCCUCGUCUUAUUUAUCCUCCUCUUCCAUUUCCUCUUCCUCUUCUUCCUCUUCCUAUUUCUUGUGUAAUGAGAAAUGGAGACCAACGAGCUUCCCGUUCUUCCUCAUCUUUACAACAGUGCUUCUUAUUUACUAACAAUGAUUUACAAGACCCCGCGGAAGCAGAAUCCGUGGAGGAAGAGGAAAGGGAAGGGGACGCCAAAGGGGGUAGUAUGCAGAGCUAAGGAGAAGAAAAGAAAUUACAUUUUGUUGCCAGUGUGAGGACUAGUCUUCCAACCAACCAGCCAACAAUCAAUGGGGGAAACAAAAAAAAAAGGAUGCAAGGCAUUGAGACCUAAACCUGCCACUCCUCCCUUCCAUCAUCACCCGACCUCAUCACGUGUCAAGGCGCCAACACUACCCACCCUUUGCAUAACUCAAUGUUUUUUGUGUGUGUGCAUAUUAGCAACCACAGCCUUGUAAGAAAUUAAAAUGAAAAAAUUAGAGAGAAAAAAAAAUAAUAAUGAAAAAUAAAUCUCACUCAUAAAAAAAAAAUAUAUAGAUAUUUGUCCCUCCAGUUAAACAGGCAAAUAGUAGUAUUGGGUGAUUCAUAGAAAAAUAGGUUCCUAAAGGGAUAAUUGUGCCUUGUUGCAGUGAGCGUGCCCAUUAGGCUAAAAGGUGCAUGCUCCCCCUGCCGCCUCCUAUUGCCAAUAGUCCUACAAUGAUAUAUGUAUCUUCUAAAUAUCCUAGUCCAUGAAAUUCCAGUGUUAUCAAAGAAGGUUGUCCCAGCCAUUAGCUGCAAGACAGCUGAUACAAACUGCCACAAUUUUUUUUGCUCUCUUUUAUUUUUUUCCCUUUUUAUUUUUAUUUUUUGUCCAACCAAUCCAGGGUGUUCGACAUUUCUAUCUCAAAUAGCUUUUGUAAGCACUAAAACAUUAUUUUUAUUAUAAUCAACUUAUAACAGCAAUAUUAUGCACUUCAUGCAAUAUUUGUGCCAAAAGGACACAUUGUUUCUCUAAAUGUAAGUUUGUGAUUGUUGAGACCCUCUAAUGGGAAAAUUGUUGUACUUGAAGCAAUAGUUUUAAAAAGUAAAAAAUAAACAAAACAAAACAAAAAAACAAAGUCUGUGACAUUUAUUGUGAUGUGAGAGCUUCUAUGUGUGUCUCCCCAGAUGCUUGGUGGUGUUGUAUGUGACAUCUUGUAACAUGUUGUUGUUUUUAGUGUUAUAUCUAACCUUAUUCACAAUGGUGGUGAGCUCUCAAAAGGUGUAUGUGCUCCCCAAAUACAACGCUUGUCUUUACUCAUGAUAUAGGUGAGCCUCAUAAACAGAUUGAUAUACUCUUGUUGAAUAUGAUUAUUAUUUUUCUUUGGUGUGUGUGAAGUUACGACCUUUGGUAAUAUUUUUGCUAAGAAAGGAAAAUGUGAAGAAAACAAUAUUGCCUUGUGAUUGCAUGAAGACCAAUUUGCAGCUUUAUUUCCUUUUUUUAAUAUUUUCUUUUCUUUUUUUUCAUUUAUCAUCCUUAUUAUUAUUGUGUUUCAAUUGUUGAUUUCAUUUUCUUCAGCUGACAAUGGUGCUACCAGGAUGAACGUUUACUUCUUACUUAAGAUGUAAAAUAGUUGUGUAACUUAAGUUUAUUAUGUUAAUUAACUUUUGCUAUCAACACUGCCAUUAUGUUCAGACUUUAAUUUGGGUUUGUUUCUAGUAAGGAAAUCAAACUAACUAUAUUUUUAAGUUAAUCAUAGCCUGAUAACUGCCAUGCCCACAUCUUGAGUCCAAUGUUAAAUAGUCACAACCUUUUAAUGAGUCAGUGUUUUAUGGUUAAGACCCAUAUCAUGAGUUUGAUAACUGUAUAGUGUGUUUUUGUGUUGUGCGUGAUCAAUGAAAUAAGCUUUAGAUUGGGCUUCUUUGAGAAUUUAUAGAAUCAUCAUUUCUCCUGUAUACAACUCGCCUUCAAGAAGCACUGUUGGGCAUACGGUGUAAGAUCCAUGACCUUAGGGAUCAUGGAUCAGUUGAUAUUAUACCAUCACGUGCUUCAUGCCCUGUAUUUGCCAAGGUCUUAGGUGUUGAGAUGUCCAUACUGUCAUUUUUAAAAGAUUAUGCACAUGGAAGUCGCACAGCUGUCUGUACUCUUUCAUGGUAAAUGUAAUUUAAACAGUGCCCAGUUGUUUUGUAAUAUGAUUAGCAGUCCUACAGUUUGGCCAUGAUUUUCAUUUAAGUUCUUUGCAAGUAAUCAUAGGGGUCCUGAGAAUCUGUGAACAAGGUUUCUGUUGUAAGAUCAAGCAACAUGGCAUAUUAUUAAGGCAUUUUUUUCUGAAUUGACUAAUUGUUUCUUAAGUUUUAGAUUUUCAACUUACUUGCAGUACAGUCUUGUGGGUACUCUGAACAAAAAAGAAAGGAAUUUAGAUCUAACUAGGGCAAAAAGCAUCACAUUAAAAUCUUUUAUCUUUCUCCUGUCUCCUUUGCCUCUAAAUAAGUCCGGUACAUUACUAAGAUCAAGUUUGAAAUUGGAACAUGAUUUUUUAUUACCAUCUAUGUCCUUGCUUACAGUACAACAGUAUCAUUGUAGACUGCAUUUUUCUUGUUUUUGUUGCAGUAUUUCACACCCAAAUGUAUAUAAUCACCCAGUGGGAAGCUAAAACAUUAUUUUGUGCAGACCAUAUCCAAGAUUACCCAAUAUGCCCUUUGUUCACUUCCCGUGGCUUGGAGCUUCCAGGCCUUGUCUCUAAGCAGCCUCUUGACUGCUAAAUGACUACCUACCUCUGUUUAUCUUGAUGAUAGUCACUUGAUUAGCGAGGUUCAUGCGGUUUAUGAGGACAAAACCAUCGCUUCAGACUCAAACAAAAGUGAACAUGCUGGAUCAAGAUUCUCUACACAACUGCUUCUGCUUUGCAUAGUGGCUGGUAUUCUCUGCUGACCAGACUAGAUGGUGUUCAGAGCAAAUACAUCACAGCCACUGCUGCUGCUUCAGUUGAUGCCCUUUAGAUGUAGUCAGCCCAAUUCUCAGAUAUUGUGUGGGUGUUAUGUGGUAAUGCAAUCCAUUAAAAAAAAAGGGAAAAAGAAAAUUAAUCUCUACUUUUUAGAAGUUGUGUCUGAGAAAUAAAGAUAGAGUAUAA